GUUCCAUCGCGCGCGCGGCUGGCGAGACGCUUCCUCCUCGCGAUUAGUUUGUUUAAUAAUGACAUUCACGUAUUCGUGAGCGAUCUUGCGUGUCAGAAGAAGAGGCAGUUCCUCGUUCUGCGUAAUCCCGGUGGAAAUGUGGUGGCAGGCCUCCGACGAAGACUUUCCUGGAGAAACGUUCGCCAGUUUCGCUGCCCUGGCUGUGUGGACUGCUCCGGCUCGGCGAUGAGAGCGGCGCAGCUUGGGACGCGGGGAUGCCGCCACCCACACCGACGCCGACGCUGACUCCGACGCCGACUCCGACACCGUCUAGCUGGCUCGGCGCAUUCGGGUCUUCCAGCAAGGUAGCGCUCUGAUCCUCGAGACUCGGGAAGAACGGAGAUUUACCUGUGAAUACACAACAACAUUGUUCCACGACACAUCGGAAUGCCUAAAAGAUUGAAACGACUCACCAGAAGGAGCCGAACCCGACGAGGAUCUUUAUCCUCGCGAGACCACACACGUGCUCCAGGCACAUACAUUGCGGCAGACACGUCGCUGACGUGCCUAUUCUUAUACGGUAAAAGUAGUUCACGAUGUAGAUUGUGCCACGUGAUCGGCGACACGAAUAGGACGCGCAGUAAUUGCCUUUAAUUGCGUCGCGGUACGAUAAAGCCGGGUUAUUAUCGUCGAUUUUAAUUGGCCGAAGGAUCGCUUUUGCCGUCCUUCGAGAAGCGGGUUAAUCGCGUCUCCUAGAGAGAUAGAGAGAAAGAGAGAGCGAGAGUAGAGAAGAGAAAAGGGCUCACAGUUAUAAUUUGAUUUCCUUUCCGGUUGAGACUGGCUCUAUUAAGGAUGCCUCACGCAGAGAGGUAUUCGAUCGAUUAUUCCACUGCGUUUAAAUCGCGCACCGAUAAUUAUUAUUAGUCGUAUCGUGUAUAUACGAGACGGUCGACAGGAAAUUCUCGUUAAUCUCAAACGAGAGACUCGCGCGAGACUCGCCGUCCUAUUGAAAUUGAUUUCGCACUUGAGAAGAGAUUAGAUUUGAUACUUAUUCGCGUGCAAUCUUGAACAAAUACUUCUCUAAGAUGUCUUUCCACAUCUCUUUGCCACAUCACCGACGUGAUUAUCUGUCUCUAUCUUUCGCAUCGCCGGUGCAAUUAUUACAUCUGUAUGAGCGCGGAUCCGUUGUUCCAGAGGGAAGCGUCAGUCGCGAAUCUGAGAUCAAUUAAUUCGUGUUAUACUUAGCAAUUUCCGCUAGCCGGUAAGAUCGUGCUCGAGCCGGUCGACGAGUCUUCUGCCGAGUUAGGCACGCAUGACGUACGGCAUUCACGUUUCGUCUAUCAAAGCUAAAUCCGGAACAGUUGAUCUUACGAGUGCCACGUCGAGUCUCCACUACGCGCGCUAACUCCGCUCUGCAACUACCAAUACUACUACACCAUUACGAUCAUUACUCGGCCGCAAUAACCGCGGCACGAAAUACCGUGGAAAUUCGUGACGUUAUUCACGCGAUGCGCCAUGGCGUUAACGUUUUCGGAACUCGAUCUCUCGAGCUGCCGGCUAACACUUACUCGAGUCGCGCGCGUGCUCGCGAGUUUCGCUUCGACAGGUAAUUACGAUUUGACGUUUGGAUUGCAAUUUCGAUGUAACAGACACGCGCAAUUUAGAGAGAGAGAAAUUCGACACGGCACGAGAAUGAAUCUUAGGUAUACACAGAAAGAAAAGAAUACAUAUCGCGUUUAAGUAAAUGUUUCUCGAUUCAAAUAUUUCAUAAGUUUCUCUUCUUAUCUCCGCAAAUUUAUCAUCAAUUCUCAUUAUCGUCACAUUUAUUCAAAAUACAUUCUGAAUCCUAGUAAAUUUAGCAUUCAAUCGAGCAUGUUCAAUUGAAGGAAAAAUUUUAUUUGCUUGCUCUGCACAGAGUCAAACUAACUUUUAUUUUGACAAAGUUUUCUGAUAUUCCCGUAAAGAGAACAAAUUCUUCUUUUGAGCGUAUGGUAAUGAGUUUUCCUUAAAUUUGUGAUGAGUGUAUUGAGAAAAAUAUUUGAAAAUUUAUUUAUUUCGUAGAAAUAAAUUUUGUUUCUAAGAAAUAAAAUAGACUAUAUCUCACAAAUAAAUGUUCAAGUAUUUUUUUUCUAAGUGUAUACUUGAAGACUAUAGUCAAGAAAAUAUUCUCUUUUGAAGACAACCUUUGCUUGAAAGAUGGAAGAUGAACUAAGUAAUCGCUUUUCUUAGCAAUGAAAUCUUUUCCCGCAUGUAGAGAAUAAAACACAUGAUACACGUGAGCGCGAAGGAGGAUAUUAAGCGCGCCGGGAAAUAUUUCGCCGCGGCAAAGCGUGAAAUGAGAUAGAUAGAAAUUUAAUGAAUUUUUUUCGUCAAAUUUUUUCCAACGGGAAAAACCGAUCGCGACGAUAAAAGUGCACGUCAUCGAUAGGCGGACGGCGUAACAAGGCAACGCACGGGUGCGCGAAUGAAUCAUUGGUUGCGGCAGUAUCUCUAUACUUCUCCUUUGCUUCCUUCUUUUUUCACGAGCCGCCCGUUCAGUGCUGAAUUCAAGACAAAUAGAUAGCCACCUAAUUGUGCAAGGAAAUGACAGCGGAUUGCGCGAGAAACCGCGCCAAGGAUGCGCGGCGCGAAUGUGGGACAAGGGAAACCUCGUACCUUGACUUCGCGAGCAACGGUUGCACAACGGCGGAUCACAAUUUGUGAUCGAAGUGGUAAAGUCACCGCGCUGCGGCUCCCCGCGGGUGUCUGGCGACACUAAUAAGCAUGAAAUUCGCCACUCGGAAGUACUCGCCUUAAACUGUCCACUCGACGGCGCUGUUUACAACGUAUCAGGCAUCUGCUGGAUACUCGUGCCGAGUGUGUACUGACGAGCAUGUUCUCGAUGACGGGGCCCAACGCGCGACGGCGUUUUAUCGUUAUUACGGCUGGCCGGCCGAGUGACCGAUCCACGAGCGCAAAUAACGCGGAUAUGAUCAAAUCCGCGAGCGCAAAUAACAGGGACGCGCGCACUGGUGCCUAAUUUGUGUGCGCAAAUUGAUCGCGGGGGACAGUAACAUCCGGCCAGCUAAAUGCAGAGUGGACGCGCGAGCGAUGUGUGCUCGCAUUGAGCGAAUAAAACGUUUGCUAUUUGUAACUAUAAUCACAUAAAGAAAUGAUUACUAUAAAUUAUGAUUAAGAGAAAACCAUUCUUUCCUAUUAAGUUCUGCUGUACACUGAGAAGAAUUAUCAGAUAAAAAAUUAACAAACGGAGAUUUCCGGUUUGUUUGCUGCAUAAAGCUGAGCCAAUCUUUUCUUGCAUGCAAAAAAAAUUUCAGUUGGUGCAAUCAAAUAGGAACCAACUGAAAAUUAGGUGAUCAGAAGCUACACCUCUGUUAUGAAAACUAAUAUUUCGCAACCGAAAAUAUUCUGAACAUUCGACGAUAUUAGA